rnacentral:rRNA from 1 species
GACGUAGGAGGCGAGCGUUUGUCCGGAGUUACUGGGCGUAAAGGGUGCGCAGGCGGCCCCUUAAGGUGGCGGUGAAAGCUCCUGGCUCAACUGGGAGAGGGCCGUGACGCUGGGGGGCUUGAGGCUCGGAGAGGGACGUGGAAUUCCGGGUGGAGCGGUGAAAUGCAUAGAGAUCCGGAAGAACACCACGGCGAAGGCAGCGUCCUGGCCGAGCACUGACGC